AUAAAUUCCAAAUGAGGCAAUGCGAUGACCAUGGACCAAUAUAUGCCCCAAAGUUUAAGGGUAUAAAUAAAUGAGGCCAACCCCAAGAUUUAAUGGCAAGUGUCAAACACAUCGCCCCUAUGGUUUCUAGCAAAUCAGCACAUGAUACGGUGUAAAAAAAGGUUAUGCGAGGACGAGGACAAAACCACCUUUGGUGGAGGUAGAAACAAUAUGAAAAGGUGGCAAUUUUAAAGAUCAACAGCAGCGGCAGUUUCAAUGGCGGUGGCCACGAUUUUGAGCUUCCCUCUCGCUCUCUCGUUUUCUCGCUUCCCCAUCUCUUUUCGGCAGUCUCACUUUCUUCUCAAUGUCUUUGAAAUA